rnacentral:rRNA from 1 species
UACGAAGGGGGCUAGCGUUGCUCGGAAUCACUGGGCGUAAAGGGUGCGUAGGCGGGUUCUUAAGUCAGAGGUGAAAUCCUGGAGCUCAACUCCAGAACUGCCUUUGAUACUGAGAAUCUUGAGUAUGACAGAGGUGAGUGGAACUGCGAGUGUAGAGGUGAAAUUCGUAGAUAUUCGGAGGAACACCAGUGGCGAAGGCGGCUCACUGGUCCAUUACUGACGCUGAGGUGCGAAAGCGUGGGGAGCAAACAGG